GUUGGGUUAACUGAAUUAAUCACGGCGUUAAUUGGUGAUAACAGGUGGGUGGCACUGUGCUAGUUACGUCUCUUACGGCAACAACUAACCGAUUAUAAUCGAUUAUUAAAAUAAUUAGUAACUAAUUUAAUAAUCGAGUAGUUUAGUGUCUACAGUAUUACAGUCACAUAACUACAGUUGCUACGCGCUAAUGAGGGGCAGUUACCCGACCAACGCCGUGACAUUAACCACAGAGCUGUGAGUAAAUAAGGAAGAGUCACGGUCUGUGAGGACAAAUCAUGGGACCCUGCUUCUCCCUCAGUGACAGAGAGACUUGCUCAUGUGCUCCUCCUGUUUUAUAGGCCAGCAUUUCGAAAGAGUCGGUCAGCUUGCUGGUUGUGCUGAGAGCAGAGGUGGGUCAGUGUGCUAGUGUGGAAGCUCCACUCAAUGUUCAUGAGGUAUUUAUAUCAGAUUUUAGAAUUUAUUUAAAACUGUAAUUUAACUUGAAGUUAACU
rnacentral:lncRNA from 1 species